rnacentral:rRNA from 2 species
GGGGAACCAAAUACAUGCAAGUCGAGCGAACUGAUUAGAAGCUUGCUUCUAUGACGUUAGCGGCGGACGGGUGAGUAACACGUGGGCAACCUGCCUGUAAGACUGGGAUAACUUCGGGAAACCGAAGCUAAUACCGGAUAGGAUCUUCUCCUUCAUGGGAGAUGAUUGAAAGAUGGUUUCGGCUAUCACUUACAGAUGGGCCCGCGGUGCAUUAGCUAGUUGGUGAGGUAACGGCUCACCAAGGCAACGAUGCAUAGCCGACCUGAGAGGGUGAUCGGCCACACUGGGACUGAGACACGGCCCAGACUCCUACGGGAGGCAGCAGUAGGGAAUCUUCCGCAAUGGACGAAAGUCUGACGGAGCAACGCCGCGUGAGUGAUGAAGGCUUUCGGGUCGUAAAACUCUGUUGUUAGGGAAGAACAAGUACAAGAGUAACUGCUUGUACCUUGACGGUACCUAACCAGAAAGCCACGGCUAACUACGUGCCAGCAGCCGCGGUAAUACGUAGGUGGCAAGCGUUAUCCGGAAUUAUUGGGCGUAAAGCGCGCGCAGGCGGUUUCUUAAGUCUGAUGUGAAAGCCCACGGCUCAACCGUGGAGGGUCAUUGGAAACUGGGGAACUUGAGUGCAGAAGAGAAAAGCGGAAUUCCACGUGUAGCGGUGAAAUGCGUAGAGAUGUGGAGGAA